rnacentral:tRNA from 3 species
CGGGGAGUGGCGCAGCCUGGUAGCGCGCAGCGUUCGGGACGCUGAGGUCGGAGGUUCAAGUCCUCUCUCCCCGACCA